rnacentral:rRNA from 1 species
UUGCCAGACUCCUACGGGAGGCAGCAGUGGGGAAUAUUGCACAAUGGGGGAAACCCUGAUGCAGCGACGCCGCGUGAGUGAAGAAGUAUCUCGGUCCGUAAAGCUCUAUCAGCAGGGAAGAUAAUGACGGUACCUGACCAAGAAGCCCCGGCUAACUACGUGCCAGCAGCCGCGGUAAUACGUAGGGGGCAAGCGUUAUCCGGAUUUACUGGGUGUAAAGGGAGCGUAGACGGUUCUGCAAGUCUGAAGUGAAAGCCGGGGGCUUAACCGCGGAACGGCUUUGGAAACUGUGGAACUGGAGUGCGGGAGAGGCAAGCGGAAUUCCUGGUGUAGCGGUGAAAUGCGUAGAUAUUAGGAGGAACACCAGUGGCGAGGGGGGCU